UUCCUAAAUUAGUCAUGGGGCAGGUGGAAAUGUCACCCCCACCACCAUCCCCCCGGGAGCCCAGCGAGCCGCAGAGGUGUGCGGGAUAUAAUUAAGUCGUGAUUUUUUUCCUUUGCUGUCUCCCCUCCUUUAUUCCCCAAUUCCCAUCUGAUUAUUUGAAACUCGUCCAGCAGUGGCACGGGAAGGAAUUUUUCUCUAAACUCCUGAAAAACAAAAAGAAAAAAAAAAGGUGGGGGGAAUUAAAUCUUAAUUUUUUUGUUGUUUUUUUUCCUUUUCAGUCAAGCUGUUCAGAGAAAGGAAUGUGGAGUGAAUCUUCCCGGAAUGUCUCUUUACAAGGAAUUUUUUGAACAGUUUGUUUUUUGUAAAUAGACACAAAUUCCUAAACUAUUAUCUCUCCAGAGAUCCUCCUCCUCCCCAGUUAACUCACAUAAAAUAAGGCUUUUUAAGGCCUGAGGAAGGAGGUUUGUGGCUUCAAACCUCCUUUGUCUCAGCCCAGCUGUGUCCGUUCAGCUAAAAUAAAAAUAAAAAUGUUGUUUUUCUCUUCAAAGCUGUUUCUUCUCCUCAGCCACCAGGCCAAAACCAAGUGCUAAAAUGAGCUGCUCAUGAAUAAACAUGAGCUGCAAAUCAGGGAAAUUUUAACUGCCAGAGGUCAAGGUUCUGGAGGUUUUGCAGGGAAGAUAUUGAAGGUAAGAAAGGAAAUCAGGUUUAAGGUAGAACCUGGUGAUUUUAUGGGUGUGAGUACAGCUAAAGAGCUUACCCAGUCUUAAUUCCAAUGUUCCCACUGUUAUUAUCAUUAUUAUUAGGGGAAAUAUUAAUGAUUAAUUUGGUUUUUCCUGGAGGCACCCCUUGCACUGUCACCAUCAGUUCCAGGGUAAAAUGAUAAUCCCAGAGAAAUCUGGAACUUGGAUUCUCAAGCAAACUCAGGGAAGUUGAAUUUCCAGCCCUGCUGGGCAUUUCCAGGGUAUCCCCACAUCACCCCUCAACUGAUAAAGGUAAAAAAUUGCUAAAUUGUCCCCAAACUGUCUCCUACUCAAGAGUUUUAUGCCUUUUAUUGCUUUUCUCACCCAUUCCUGAACUAGGAAGCUGUCUGGGUUAAGAAAUCCAACUCCAGGGAUUAUUUUACUGCAUUUGACCUCAUGUGAAGGGAAAAAGAAACCAAGAGGCUCCAAAAUGGUGUCAAAGGUCCGAGGGGACACCGACCCCGGCCACCUCUGCUCCAGUUCUCUUUGCACUGCAGACCUGCUAAUCCAAAUAUUUCUGGAAGAUUCCAUCCCAGGGAGUGGAAUUUGCAUUCUGCCCAGUUGGAUUUGCCUGCAGGGACGCGGCUCGGGGAUACAGGUGGGGUUUUUACCCUUGGGAAAGGGUGAAACAAAUGAGGAUUUGGCCAAAGCUGUAUCAAAAGAAACAAGGAACGAUUGGUGUUGGAAGCAGACAGUAAAUGUGGUGGAUGGUUUGGGAUCAGGGAAUCCAGAGCAGUGUCCCACUAUCUCCAUAAGGAAUGUCAACACUUCUGUUUCUUCUGGGAACGGGAGGAUUGAAGGACACGGGGCUGUUUGUUGUUGUGUUGGGCUUUGUUGAAGCUCCCAGCUGCAAACCCCAUUCCUGGCAGUGUAAAACUCAUUUCUCCUUGAUGCAAAAGCUCAUUUAAAAACUCAUUUCUCCUCAGUGUAAAUGUUCCUUUUCCUCAGUGUAAAAGCUCCUUUCUCCUCACUGUAAAAGCUCAUUUCUCCUCGGUGUAAAAGCUCCUUUCUCUUCAGUGUAAAAGCUCAUUUCUCUUCAUUUAA